AAUAUUGGUCAAUGGGCGCGAGCCUGAACCAGCCAAGUAGCGUGCAGGACGACGGCCCUAUGGGUUGUAAACUGCUUUUAUGCGGGGAUAAAGUUCACCACGUGUGGUGUUUUGCAGGUACCGCAGGAAAAAGUACCGGCCAAUUCCGUGCCAGCAGCCGCGGUAAUACGGAAGGUCCGGCCUUUAUCCGGAUUAAUUGGGUUUAACGGGACCUCAGGCGGGUUGUUAAGCGUGACGUGAAAUGUAGCCGCUCAACGGCUGCACUGCGUCGCGAACUGGCAGACUUGAGUGAGUACGACGCGGACGGAAUUCGUGGUGUAGCGGUGAAAUGCUUAGAUAUCACGAAGAACCCCGAUUGCGAAGGCAGUCCGCGAGUCCUUUACUGACGCUAAAGCUCGAAGGUGCGGGUAUCGAACA
rnacentral:rRNA from 1 species